GCCUGGGUGGCUCAGUCGGUUGAGCAUCCGACUUCGGCUCGGGUCAUGAUCUCGUGGUCCGUGGGUUUGAGCCCCACUUCGGGCU